rnacentral:rRNA from 1 species
CCAUGCAAUCAUGCUUUACCUUUAAAAUAUUCAACCAGAUCCUAUCUGAUCACGGAAAUUAAAUAGGGUCAGUCCUGGUUAGUACUUGGAUGGGUGACUGCCAAUGAACACCAGGUGCUGUGGC